rnacentral:lncRNA from 8 species
AUGUCAGGUGUGUGUGUACUGCAGUCCACUAAACUACAGUUCACUAUACUCCACUACAGUCCACUACAGUCCACUACACUACAGUCCACUACACUACAGUCCACUAUACUACAGUCCACUACACUACACUACAGUCCACUACACUACAGUCCACUACACUACAGUUCACUAUACUACACUACAGUCCACUACACUACAGUUCACUAUACUGCACUACAGUCCACUACACUACAGUCCACUAUACUACACUACAGUCCACUACACUACAGUCCACUAUACUACAGUCCACUACACUACACUACAGUCCACUACACUACAGUCCACUACACUACAGUCCACUACACUACAGUCCACUACACUACACUACAGUCCACUAUACUACAGUUCACUAUACUACACUACAGUCCACUACACUACAGUCCACUACACAACACUACAGUCCACUACACAACACUACAGUCCACUACACUACACUACAGUCCACUACACUACAGUCCACUACACUACAGUCCACUACACUACAGUCCACUACAGUCCAGUACACUACAGUCCACUACACUACAGUCCAGUCCAGUACACUACAGUCCAGUACACUACAGUCCACUACACUACAGUCCAGUCCACUACAGUCCAGUCCACUACACUACAGUCCAGUCCACUACACUACAGUCCACUACACUACAUUACACUACACUACACUACUGUCCAGUACACUACACUACAGUCCACUACAGUCCAGUCCACUACAGUCCAGUCCACUACACUACAGUCCACUACACUACAAUCCAGUAUACUACACUACACUACUGUCCAGUACACUACACUACACUACAGUCCAGUACAUUACAGUCCAGUACACUACAGUCCACUACAGUCCACUACAGUCCACUACACUACAGUCCACUACACUACAGUCCAGUAUACUAUAGUCCAGUCCACUACACUACAGUCCAGUCCACUACACUACAGUCCAGUCCACUAUAUUACAGUGUGAAAGGGCAGUGUGGAGUGCAAUAA